AGGAAAUAUAUGAAGAAGAAAUGUUAUAUGAAAUAAGAUUGGGCAGAAAAACUUUAAUCCUUCACCUUCUGAAAUCAAGGGAAUUCCUCACUUCAAAUUACAGUGAGGCACACUACAAUGUAAAAGGAGAGAUGAUCACCAAGCAGCCUUGUAAAGCCUUCCUCUGCCUCCUCUCUGAAACCAUUAUUUCCUGAUAGUGCUUUAAACACCAAUUCCAGAUUUACAUAUUGUUUCAAAGCUUCUCGAAAGGAACUAGCCCUGAGUUGACUACUCCUACCUACUAAAUGGUGAUAGAAUGGAAACAGAACCCUUUGUAAAUGGUGGUAGAAUAGAAACUAGGAGUUGUUGAGUCCUGCAGGAAGCUGAUCACUUCCUAGCAAGCAGAUCAAAGAUUGUAUUAUAUCUUUCUUUGCUAAGGCUUCUCUAUAGUCACUAUGGUGGUAAGUGAAAAGAGGCUGAAGCAGGAGUCAAAAUAAGCAUAAUAUAUCUUGAUUUGGUUUUAAUUAAGUAAAAGGGAUGAAUUCUAAAUACAUGAAACAACUUUCAGUAUCUACAGUGAAUGAGUUCUUAUGUGGUUUGUGACACCUGUCCAGCCCUACUGAUACACUAGCAUUAGGGUCUCCUUUUUCUUCUCUGGAGAAAGUUUUGCAUAAAUCAUUACUAUUAUUCUAGAGGUAGAGAAUCUAUCUUUUCCUUCAUCACCUUUGCAGAACUUUCUAUCUAUAGUCCUUAAAUGAGAAUGACUUCCUCUGCCCAAAAGUAUCCUUCCAAAACUCUAUUUCCUCUAUAUAAAUCAACUUUAAACUGCUUUAAGAUAUACAUCACCAUGUAGCCUUAAAAUGGAGGACAAAAGGAACACAGAGGAGCAAGCGUGUGGCACUUGGAAGGUCACAGAAAGUGUCAUCUAUGGGCUGAUGAGCAGACAGAAGAGAUGAGAAGAGUCAUUGCUCGAUGGAAUUACUAUGAGCAAUGCACCAAGCAGGACUAAUGAAGAAGCCAGCUGGACAGAAAACAAGAGACGGGCAUUGGUGUGGGGUGGCUGGAGAGCAAGAACUAAUUUUAGAAAUAUCAAAAGCUUGACUUGAUUUAACAGGCAGUUGGGGAAAUGACAGAACUUUGUGGAGGAUUUGAGGGUGGACAGACAGAGCCAUAUUUAUAAGAGACAGGUCACAUCUGAAACUUGUCUCAUUGCCUAAUAGACAAACUUAUGAGGAGAUAAUUUAUAUAUAGGUUUCCCCAAAGUAGUCAUUCAGUUAGGACAAAAGGUCCCUAAAGCAGGUUCAAAUGUCUUACUUAGAUGAAUCCAUGAAUACAUUCAAUGCAAGUGUCACUUAUGAAAUAUUGAUUCAUUCUUAACAGAAAUUGAUUGUCAAUAUUUUUACAGUCCCAGCUUUUAUAUCUGCCUUAACCAACUCUUCUGUUUUAGAAUCACUGUCUUUACCAAGGAUCUAUCAUACAUGAAUUUGAUUCUGCUGCUUGUAUCAGUACUUGUAAUGGUCUGAGGGCUUCCACCAAGAAAAAUUCAUUGAACUGUUCAUUGUUGCUGAUGAUUAUGUGAAACCACAAGAAUAGUAAACCCCAAACCAAGCUAAGGAAACAAAUUUGGGGAAUGGUCAAUUUUGUCAACAUGAUUUAUAAAAUCUUGAACAUUCAUGUGGCAUUGGCUGGCCUUGAAAUAUGGUCAUCUGGAGAUAAGGUAGAAAUAGCGUCAAAUCUAGAAACUGCCUUAUUGCGUUU